rnacentral:misc_RNA from 1 species
GAUGAAGAACGUAGCGAAAUGCGAUAAGUAAUGUGAAUUGCAGAAUUCAGUGAAUCAUCGAAUCUUUGAACGCACCUUGCGCCCCUUGGUUAUUCCAAAGGGCAUGCCUGUUUCAGUAUCAUGAACACCUCAACUCUUGUGGUUUCCCACAAUGAGCUUGGACUGUGGAGGUUUUGUUGGCCCUGUGGUCAGCUCCUCUCAAAUGGAUCAGCUUACCGGUGUUUGGUGGCAUUACGGGUGUGAUAACUAUCUACGCUCGUGGUCGUCUCCAAAUAACCUCCAGUGAUGGAGGUUCGCUGGAGCUUAUAAAUGUCUCUCCCCAGUGAAGACAGCCUUUGAACGUUCGAUCUCAAAUCAGGUAGGACUACCCGCUGAACUUAAGCAUAUCAAUAAGCGGAGGA